UGUCAUCACACAAUUUCACAACAGGAAAUAUUCCACUACACUCCUGUCUGGGAAGUAAAUGUGUGUGUGUGUGUUUCUUUUUUGUAUUUGACCUAAAAUUCACUUUGACAAACUGGUUUUUAAACAAGUUUUUUAAUCAUCAAACGUUAAAAUAUUAACCCGCCAUUUUCUCGUGUAAAUGCAGCAGGUGUGUGUUACUGUGUUACUGUGUUACCGUGUUGUUGUCAUGGCCGUGGCUGCAGGAACAGAAGUGUUUUGCUGUAACAUCCAACGGACGUUCUCAUGACAGAGGAAUGUGCUCUUCUUGUAAACAUACAUCGACCCCCUGCAAGUGCUUCCCCUCUUCCCUCCCAUCCCUCCCAUCCCUCCUCUCUAAGCUGGGUGUCCCUUUGCCCACCCCAGUCUCCAUCACCCUGUCAAUACACCCUACACCACCCCUCCACCCCCCCCCGGCCCUGCCUCUGCCAGUCUCAUGUGUGAACCCCACAGCUGCCUCCUCCUCUGGUCGUCCUCUGGUUCCCACGUAGAACUGAGACUCACAGUGAAGACUAGCAGCGGCCCUGCUUUUCAUCCAGGGCCUCUUCCCUCUGAACAUGCUUGUGUGAAACUGUGAUGCAGCAGAAGGUGCCCUACUUUUAAACUUCAUUCUUCUCCAUGAGAGAAAGGGGCAAACAGACCAAGAGCAGGGCCACAACAUUCAUGUUCGUUGGUAGAGGGUUGGAGCUGUUGGUUGAUGAACGUGCUGCCAAAGGUAUUCAGUCGGACUGGUGUCCAAAGUUUCCUCCCCGCUCUUUGACCCGGAAGUAGAAGGAGACGACGUAGAAGCUGCAGCACUGUUGCCUGAAACCACAACAGCCAUGUUCUUAUCUCAUUUGUCUGGGAGCAACCACGUGUGCCCCGAGUUACUUUUACCAUUAACAGCACUUGUGUUGUAUUUGUUUCACAGUAAAUCAGUCCUUCACUUAGCACUGUUAGCAAUGUUUCACCAUUUUUUUAGGUUUCACUAACAGUGGGUGUGUCUCCGUCCAGGGUUUUCUUUCCAAUUUAUCUCUGGAACGUGGUGAACUCCAAGGUGAUGUCACUCCCAGCUCCGACUGCUGAGUUCCAAUGGAAACGGAGCACAGCAUUAUCCCUAACCCUAAACCAGAACCUAACCACGUUUGAAAAAGAGACA